rnacentral:lncRNA from 1 species
CUUGCUUUUAGCCAUUAGUCCUGAAUUAAUUUAACUCUCCAUAUUCGUUUAGCUAUUGCCAAAUAUUUUUCAUAAGUCAUAAGUUAAGCUUAAAAUUUUUAGAAACCCAAUUCACCCCCUCGCCUCUUGGGUUGCAUAGCUGGGCAACAGGGUCCCCCGUUGCUUUCUUUAGACACCAAUUAUGUUGGUCAGGUUAGCGAAUGAAACCAAUUAAUGAACCACCUUCCUUCAGGACGUAAUCUCUGAACCAUUUUUUUAGACACCAGUUAAACUGACUAACCUGAAUCCGAUCUAACUUUUAGAGUUUCUUGUCCUACUGAGCUCGAGGAUCCUUAAGGGUCAACAUCUAAUCGAUUUUAAAUUAGAAGUUUAGGUCAAUAUAAUUGCAAGAUGGUGAUUUGUGGGCCAAAAAAAGGUGAUGAAAUCCCCA